CGGAGGGGUGCAAAGCGUUAAAUCGGAAUUACUGGGCGUAAAAGCGCACGCAGGCGGUCUGUUAAGUCAGAUGUGAAAAUCCCCCGGGCUUAAACCUGGGGAACUGCAUUUUGAAAACUGGCAGGCUUGAGUCUUGUAGAGGGGGGUAGAAUUCCAGGUGUAGCGGUGAAAAUGCGUAGAGAUCUGGAGGAAUACCGGUGGCGAAGGCGGCCCCUGGACAAAAGACUGACGCUCAGGUGCGAAAAGCGUGGGGGAGCAAAACAGGAUU
rnacentral:rRNA from 1 species